CAGUCGCCGCGGGAAAACGGAGGGUGCAAGCGUUAAUCGGAAUUACUGGGCGUAAAGCGCGCGUAGGUGGUUUGUUAAGUUGGAUGUGAAAGCCCCGGGCUCAACCUGGGAACUGCAUCCAAAACUGGCAAGCUAGAGUACGGUAGAGGGUGGUGGAAUUUCCUGUGUAGCGGUGAAAUGCGUAGAUAUAGGAAGGAACACCAGUGGCGAAGGCGACCACCUGGACUGAUACUGACACUGAGGUGCGAAAGCGUGGGGAGCAAACAGGAUUAGAUACCCGAGUAGUCCCUGUCUCUUAUAC
rnacentral:rRNA from 1 species